GUACUUACCUGGCAGGGGAAACAGCACGAUCAUGAAGGUGACUUCCUCUGGGCGAGGCUUAUCCAGUGCACUGUAGACAGGCUGACCUCUAUGAUUCCCUCAAAUGUGGGAAACCCAACUGCAUAAUUUGUGGUAGUGGGAGACUGCGUUCACACUUUCUCCUG
ensembl:snRNA U1 U1 spliceosomal RNA